GAUGAAGAACGCAGCGAAAUGCGAUACUUGGUGUGAAUUGCAGAAUCCCGUGAACCAUCGAGUCUUUGAACGCAAGUUGCGCCCGAAGCCACUAGGCCGAGGGCACGCCUGCUGGGCGUCACACGUCGUUCCCCCCCCAACUACUCCUUCGGGAUUGCGGGGGGCGGAUGAUGGCCUCCCGUGCGCCUCGCCGCGCGGUUGGCAUAAAUACCAAGUCCUCGACGGCGCACGCCACGACAAUCGGUGGUUGCGAAACCUCGGUUGCCCGUCGUGUGCGUUCGUCGCGCAUCGAGGGCUCGAAAAAAUGCUCGGCUCCGGCUCGGCUUUCAACGCGACCCCAGGUCAGGCGGGGUUACCCGCUGAAUUUAAGCAUGUCAAUAAGCGGAGGA
rnacentral:misc_RNA from 1 species